UCCGAGGCUGCGGCGAGCUGGUGCGCUCGUCGGCUGCGGCGAGCUGGUGCUCUCCAAGGCCGCGGCGAGCUGGUGUUCUCCGGAGCUGUGGCAGAGACGCUCGUCGGCUGCGGCGAGCUGGUGCUCUCCGAGGCUGCGGCGACCUGGUGGUUCUCCGGAGCUAGUACUGCGGGAGCUCGCCUGCCGCACGGAGCUGGUGGCAGUGGGCGGCGGAGAUGACUGCUGCUCUCCGGAGCUGUGACUUCGGCAGCGAAGCCGAUACCGUGCGAGGCGUGGUGUCUUCAGGAUGAACGCUGUAUAUGUGUGCGCGCGGCUGUGGCUGCUGAGUGGGCAACGUACCGAAGAGGUUUUGUGUUCAGGCUUCCGUUAUCCCCGCUCAACGAGGUGUCAUUACGACACCGGGGGGAGGAUGUAGCGGACUGAGCCGGAGCGGGUUGGCCUGUGCGUUGCUCGACAGGUGGCGCUAGUUGUGGACACAGGGGGCGACGAUGUUCGUACUGACCAUUGGAUGGUGGCGCCACCCUAAGCCAGUGGUGGCGCAGAGAGUCCAGUGCGCCGCCCAUCGACGUGGCGUUUUUUGGCUGUGUGGCGCCGGCGUGAGACGCAUGGAGUUUGUGCGCCGCCGUUCGCCACAAUGUGAUUCGGUGGAAAAACUUUGAAACCUACCUACAUUCUACAUUCUACAUUCUACGUUGCUACACUGCUACUACUUCUAUCUACGUGCCCGAGACCAGGAUUCUGGGGGAGACAGAGAUCUACGUGGACCUCGGAAGCACUCUGAACCUGACCUGCACUGUCUCAUCGAGUCCCGUGCCGACUGAGUUCAUCUUCUGGUAUCGCAACGAAACGGUUGUCAACUACAGCGCGCCACCAGGCCGGGUUACCGUCAUCACUGAGGACUCUGCCGCCGCGACCACCAACUCGUACCUCAUGAUACGGAACGCACGUGUCGAGGACUCGGGCAUCUACACGUGCACCCCCUCCAACGCCAACGUGGCCAAGGUCAAGGUCCACGUGCUGAAAGGGGAGAAGCCUGCCGCGAUGCAGACCAACGGAGUCGCGACGAUAUCGGCCGCCCUGUCACUGGUCGUCAUGGCAACCGCUCGGUGGCUGAUCUAGGGCUCCAGAUACCGCGCGGCCCACUGGUGACGUCACACCUCCUGACGCGAUGACGUCACUAGUGGUGACGCGUUUGGGUCGGGCUUUACCUGUCCAACCGGCGGGGGCAGGUCGUGGCUUGGAAAAUAAAGCCAAUGAAGCGGUGCUAAGGCUCAGACCUGUGCUGAUGGAAGCUGCUGCUAGGCUGGCGACGGGUGACGAUUCGCAGCCGAGGUAUGCUGAAACGUAACCCCGAACUGCGCUGUGACCUGUGACGUCAGAGGUCACUGACCGAGUGUUCUCCGUCAGCUGUCAGCCGCUAGCGGACAGAUCAGGCAGUGAAUCACAUGGUGGCUACAAAUUAGGUGGACCACUGACAACAGGAAGCCGUGAUGACGUCAUCAGAAGAGACGUUCCCGACUGGUGCGUAAAACAAAGGCCGGGUCGAGAGUGCUCAGCUGAGGGCCGUGGUUACAGUCUACAGAUGUGGUGAAAUCAGAGGGGUUCUAUCGAAUAGGCUGGGACAGAGCCGGGCCUGGGUCUACGGUAAGAGAGACAGGACGAAUGCUAUCGUCUAAUUUAUGUAGCGUCGAGGUUCGUAAUGUUGACUGUACCUUUUGUUUUCAAAUGACGCAAAGAUGGCUCCGAAGGCUACUAAGAUAUGAAUUACUGAAUAUCGAUGACAAAUGUUAGGCUUUUUUUUAAUCUGUAGGGUUCAUUGCGUUGUAUUUUUUUCCGGAAUGGUUGAGACGAGGUGUUAGUAUAAGAGAAGCUGGGUGUUAAGCUCUCGUUCCCGUCUUGAAUUAGUUGUUAUCUUCACUGCUGUUCACUGCUGUGAACUGCUGUGCUGGUUUUGUUCGGUUGAGGAAAUCGUAUAUUGUGAGCAAAUGUGAAAGAGUGUGUUCGUGGAUUCUAUACGUACGAAGCUCGUUGUGUCACGCGGCAUUGUGAGUGUUCUUUGUGACUGCCUGUUCCCCAAGAGCUUCUUUGUUAACAAAAUGUGAGCUGUUUUGUCUCUCAGUGAUGUACAACGGUCAUUUACUUUCCGACAUUUAUUAUUCCGCGCGGAGUCCACCGUAGACUCUAGUGGGGGUCAGCGGGCGUGCUUCGAAUGUUCUCCGACCUUAAUUUCCACCACCCAUUUGAAUCUGACCUCAGAGGGAUUUAUCAUUGCCCCCAUCGCAGCUAGUUUUUCUACCUGACUGAUUCGUCGAUAUAUUGCGACUGCGUUUAUCGGAGCAGUGAAGUGACCAUCCUGGACAGACCCAUUGCCCGUCCCAGACACUCGCAUUAUGGGGUCGGUCGGGCUCUCAGAUACCGCCUGCGGCUAGCAGACGGACUCUACUCUGAUUGGCCGGGUUCAGCACCGCCCGCCGGCGUUCGACUGGGCCGGCCGCCGAGCGAAUUCGAAUGUGGCAGAGGAGAGCUCAUGGCAUCUCUGCCGGGAUCUCAUCCGAUUUAUCGGCGCCAGAUAUUGAAGUUUCCCAGUAGAUUUAUGGGGCCGCUGCGUAGUGAGCCGUCGCGAAAAACGUGAGCAUGAUGUCGUCAGUAAAUCGUCGGCAUCCGCUGUUGACGCGAGCGCGGCGGCCCGGUCCGGAAGGGGUCCAUUACUGCGGGCGCGACCGGGGAACGGUGUACAGUUUGUUUGGAGAUGUCGUCAUGACCGAGAAAUGCGAGAGCCGCGGCCAGCCUGUCGCCUGGCAUUGCUUGGAAGGACGAUUUGUCUUUCGGAUACUGCGAAUGUCAGUGAUGUUGUUGCGGGUGAAUGUUGACACGGCCAUUCGAGCUGAAAUAAAGUCCCGUUGUGUUCGUGUAUUUACAAAACAA
rnacentral:misc_RNA from 1 species